rnacentral:rRNA from 1 species
CCGUUGCCGGCGACCGGCGCACGGGUGAGUAACACGUAUGCAACCUGCCCGUGGCAGGGGGAUAAGCGGGGGAAACCCCGUCUAAUACCGCGUAACGCGGCCUAGGGACAUCCCAAGGCCGCCAAAGGGAGCAAUCCCGGCCACGGAUGGGCAUGCGGCGCAUUAGCUAGUCGGCGGGGUAACGGCCCACCGAGGCGACGAUGCGUAGGGGUUCUGAGAGGAAGGCCCCCCACACUGGUACUGAGACACGGUCCAAACUCCUACGGGAGGCAGCAG